rnacentral:rRNA from 1 species
GUGGGGAAUAUUGGACAAUGGGCGAAAGCCUGAUCCAGCCAUGCCGCGUGUGUGAAGAAGGUCUUCGGAUUGUAAAGCACUUUAAGUUGGGAGGAAGGGCAGUAAGUUAAUACCUUGCUGUUUUGACGUUACCGACAGAAUAAGCACCGGCUAACUUCGUGCCAGCAGCCGCGGUAAUACGAAGGGUGCAAGCGUUAAUCGGAAUUACUGGGCGUAAAGCGCGCGUAGGUGGUUUUGUAAGUUGGAGGUGAAAUCCCCGGGCUCAACCUGGGAACUGCCUCCAAAACUGCAUGACUAGAGUACGGUAGAGGGUAGUGGAAUUUCCUGUGUAGCGGUGAAAUGCGUAGAUAUAGGAAGGAACACCAGUGGCGAAGGCGACUACCUGGACUGAUACUGACACUGAGGAGCGAAAGCGUGGGGAGCAAACAGGAUUAGAUACCCGAGUAGUCC